UACGAAGGGGGCUAGCGUUGUUCGGAUCUACUGGGCGUAAAGCGCACGUAGGCGGAUCGUUAAGUCGGGGGUGAAAUCCUGGAGCUCAACUCCAGAACUGCCUUCGAUACUGAGAGUCUUGAGUCCGGGAGAGGUGAGUGGAACUGCGAGUGUAGAGGUGAAAUUCGUAGAUAUUCGCAAGAACACCAGUGGCGAAGGCGGCUCACUGGCCCGGUACUGACGCUGAGGCACGAAAGCGUGGGGAGCAAACAGG
rnacentral:rRNA from 1 species